UACAGAGGUGGCAAACGUUGUUCGGAAUUACUGGGCGUAAAGGGCGCGUAGGCGGUCUUGCAAGUCCUGUGUGAAAUCCCUCGGCUCAACUGAGGAACUGCACAGGAAACUGCUUGGCUUGAGUUCGGGAGAGGGAAGCGGAAUUCCGGGUGUAGCGGUGAAAUGCGUAGAUAUCCGGAGGAACACCGGUGGCGAAGGCGGCUUCCUGGACCGACACUGACGCUGAGGCGCGAAAGCUAGGGGAGCAAACGGG
rnacentral:rRNA from 1 species